rnacentral:rRNA from 1 species
GACGAACGCUGGCGGCGUGCUUAACACAUGCAAGUCGAACGGAAAGGCCCUGCUUUUGUGGGGUGCUCGAGUGGCGAACGGGUGAGUAACACGUGAGUAACCUGCCCUUGACUUUGGGAUAACUUCAGGAAACUGGGGCUAAUACCGGAUAGGAGCUCCUGCUGCAUGGUGGGGGUUGGAAAGUUUCGGCGGUUGGGGAUGGACUCGCGGCUUAUCAGCUUGUUGGUGGGGUAGUGGCUUACCAAGGCUUUGACGGGUAGCCGGCCUGAGAGGGUGACCGGCCACAUUGGGACUGAGAUACGGCCCAGACUCCUACGGGAGGCAGGAGUGGGGAAUAAUGCACAAUGGGCGGAAGCCUUAUGCAGCAACGCCGCGUGCGGGAUGACGGCCUUCGGGUUGUAAACCGCUUUCGCCUGUGACGAAGCGUGAGUGACGGUAAUGGGUAAAGAAGCACCGGCUAACUACGUG